AGCUGGUCCUAAGGUAGUGAGUGAUCUCAAUUAAUUGUUCACAGUCAGUUACAGAUCGAACUUCUUGUUCUACUCUUUCCCCCUUUCUCACUACUUCACUUGACUAGUCUUGA
ensembl:Y_RNA Y_RNA Y RNA